GGAGUUAGCCGGUGCUUCUUCUGUGAGUGAUGUCCUUCCUGCCGGCUAUUAACCCGCAGGCCUUCUUCCUCACUGAAAGUGCUUUACAACCCGAAGGCCUUCUUCACACACGCGGCAUGGCUGGAUCAGGGUUGCCCCCAUUGUCCAAUAUUCCCCACUGCUGCCUCCCGUAGGAGUCUGGGCCGUGUCUCAGUCCCAGUGUGGCUGAUCAUCCUCUCAGACCAGCUACGGAUCGUCGCCUUGGUGAGCCGUUACCUCACCAACCAGCUAAUCCGACAUAGGCUCAUCCGAUAGCGCGAGGCCCGAAGGUCCCCCGCUUUCCCCCGUAGGGCGUAUGCGGUAUUAGCCUGGGUUUCCCCAGGUUAUCCCCCACUACCCGGGCAGAUUCCUAUGCAUUACUCACCCGUCCGCCGCUCGCCACCAGGGAGCAAGCUCCCCGUGCUGCCGCUCGACUUGCAUGUGUUAGGCCUGCCGCCAGCGUUCAAUCUGAGCCAGAUCGAACCCUGA
rnacentral:rRNA from 1 species